AACGAACGCUGGCGGCAGGCCUAACACAUGCAAGUCGAACGCCGUAGCAAUACGGAGUGGCAGACGGGUGAGUAACGCGUGGGAACAUACCCCUCGGUUCGGAAUAACUCAGGGAAACUUGAGCUAAUACCGGAUACGUCCAAGGUUUUAAUCGACCUUGGAGAAAGAUUUAUCGCCGGAGGAUUGGCCCGCGUCUGAUUAGCUUGUUGGUGAGGUAAUGGCUCACCAAGGCGACGAUCAGUAGCUGGUCUGAGAGGAUGAUCAGCCACAUUGGGACUGAGACACGGCCCAAACUCCUACGGGAGGCAGCAGUGGGGAAUAUUGGACAAUGGGCGUAAGCCUGAUCCAGCCAUGCCGCGUGAGUGAUGAAGGCCUUAGGG
rnacentral:rRNA from 1 species